CUUCUACUCCCUCCGUCCGAGAAUACUUGUCAUCAAAAUGGAUAAAAAGAGAUGUAUCUAAAACUAAAAUACAUCUAGAUACAUCCUCUUUUAUCCAAUUUGAUGACAAGUAUUUCCGGACGGAGGGAGUAAUAA
rfam:Triticum aestivum genome assembly, contig: Triticum_aestivum_CS42_TGACv1_scaffold_592614_7BS